rnacentral:lncRNA from 1 species
UUCCUUCAUCACUCUCGGCUGAAACCUUCAACCAUACACCUGCUUUCAAAAUUUCAACUCAUUUUCUUGAAGAUCAUGACGAUUUCAAGCUAGUUUUGAUUCGGUUUGAAGAUCUAAAGGUGAUUCCAAGGCGAUUUCAAAGAGGAACAACCUCAUUAUCAUCAAAAAUCUCAUCAUAAUUCCACUUUCGUACUUUAAAGGUAUAAAAAAUGUCAUUACAUUAAAAACUUGUUCUUAAUGAUGAUGAUGAUGAUGAUGAUGAUGAUUAGCAUGGUUCUCGAAUACGUACAUGAAUUCGGCUUCGAGGAUUUUGGCUUAUGUCGUCAUGUGGUUGGUGAUGCUUGUUGUAAUUAAAUAAUUAAGUUUGGACACUUUAAAAAACUGUCAUGGUGUGACAACUGGCACUUUUCCAUGUAUUCCGUACAAUAAUGAACAGUAAAUUGUACUUUGAUGACUGUGCAUGAUUGAAUUAACAAGACGAAUGAUU